ACCACACUGGAGACUUUAAUCAGGUAAUAAAACUUCUCUGCCAUGUAUCUGCUUUAGUUUUAGGAAUUUGAUUUGGGUCAUUCUUAUUUCCCUUCAAGCAAAGGCAUUUGUCUAAAUCAUUAGAAUUAUUAUUUCCCUUGAAGUAUAAAAUGGUGCAUUUAAUUGGUAUAUGAUUGGAUGUAAAAAAGAUUCCAAGUUCUUAAUAUCUCUAAUUAUAGAAUGGCCAUUCAAGAACCAGAGUAGAUCUCAGAAGUUACUGCAGUGUGUCAGUUUCUUAUUAAUAUGGUAGGUGUUUGCAUGUUUGAGCAUCGAUGCAAUUUAGUUCAAAAUAUUAAAUGUUUUAGUUAUGUGAAAUUAUCAUGAGCUCUAACUAUGUUUAUAGGUGGGUUUCCACCAUUUUGAUUUUCUUUUUGGCAUCUCCAGGGAUUAAUUGAGGAUAUAACUGCUAGUUAAUUUAUUUUAUUUCUUUUACUUUUUUAGGCAAAUAUAUAUCAGCAAAAGGCUUUGGA
rnacentral:misc_RNA from 1 species